AUGCAGGGUAUUGGGCGCUAGAAUGGAGCGGUGUCUGUGGAUGUUCACGGGAUGGGAGAGGGAGGCAGGGAUGAGGGCAAGAUUAAAUGCACCAGUAGUGCUGUGUAGUGAUUGUAUUUGCUUGACUUUAUUAGUUUGCAGAGGAAUCAUCCAGGAGCCCUCGCCGGACGAGAAUAUGCAGAAGUGGACGUGAGCAGCCUGGGCAUCCUUCUGAGGAGACCUCAACAGUCUUCAGGGUCUGCCUUCUGCCUAACUGGCUGUGAGUAAGCGGUUUGGUGUGUCUGACCAGAGUCAUCUGUGCAGAGUGACUAUUUCAGUACCAAGGGAAAAGAAGUGACAAGUCAGAGUCUACUGCCCUCAUGCGAUGGAAAGCGAGCGAGAGUGAUGGGACUGCGAGAAUUAUUGAUGCCUUGAAAAAGCCGUACGACUGGGAAUGGAACAGUCAUCACUGUCAAUGAGAUAAGUGUCUGUUUUGGUGAUUGCUCUGCUCACGGCCCACCUUGCUCCUGAAAGGGAUGCCCCGUUUGCUGAGGCUGUGUUUGUAAGAAAAGGUUCCUGACUAGCUGUGGUUUUGAGAGAGAGAAGGUCCCUAUUUUUAGGGGCUGCUCAGUUUUCUGGCCAGGAGCAGUGUGUCCUACGCAGCAGAAGGUUGCAUCUAGGAGAAUGAGUCCAGGUGGUGAAUUGCUUGCCUUCCUCUCGUGUUUCUCUCUCUUCUCUAGUGUGUUGGCCAACACUCUUUCUCAAUCUGUCCUUGCCUUUCCUUGUGCCGUCUCCCUUCUUAGGAUAUUGGCAGGCGAGCUAGGUGUGCACCCCCACAGGUUGUGUCUUGGGAGCCAUAAAGAAGUAGGAGGGGACGAAAAUCAUGCAGGGCAGUCAGUGCGAGACUGGAGCGGUGACUGUUGGUGUUGUGGGGCUAAGACAGAUCGAAAGCGACGCAGGGAAGAGGGCCUUAAUUGGGCUCUAUGUAGUGCAGGAGUUCUCAAACUGGGGUUUAGGUCCCGUCAGGGGGCCGCAAGGUUGUUAUCUGGGGGGUUGUGAAAUGUCAUCCUCCAUCCUAAACAUCACUUGGCUUCCAGCAUUUAUAAUGGUGUUGAAUAUAUAAAAAGUGUUUUUAAUUUAUAAGGGGAGGGUCACACUCAGAAGCUUGAUAUGUAA